rnacentral:rRNA from 1 species
GGGUCAGUAGGAUGGUCGUGCCACCGGUACGUACUGGUCUCACUGAUUCCUCCUUCCUGAAGAACCGUAAUGCCAUUAAUUUGGUGUUGCUGGGAAACAGGACUGUUACUUUGAAAAAAUUAGAGUGUUUAACGCAAGCUAACGCUUGAAUACAUUAGCAUGGAAUAAUGAAAUAGGACGAUCGAUCCUAUUUUGUUGGUUUCUAGGAUUGACGUA